GGGUGCUUCCAUGCAAGAGGUUUGGACUUUAACAAAAACUAAUGUGAUCUUUGCGCUCUAUUACUAAUCCUUUGUUGGAGCUUAUUACUCUUAGUGAGAAUAACAUGUGUAUCACUGGGAGGUUGAAAGUCAUGCUUGUGGUCUUCAGAAGGACUAAAGAACACAUGGUUCAUCAGUUCUUGAAGAUGCUGUUGCAGGUGUAGAGUUCCAAAUUACUUUCAUUUCAGAACUCAAGCUUGGAGGUAA
rnacentral:misc_RNA from 1 species